rnacentral:rRNA from 1 species
UACGAAGGAUGCGAGCGUUAUCCGGAUUUAUUGGGUUUAAAGGGAGCGUAGGCGGUCUUAUAAGUCAGUGGUGAAAUCUCGUUGCUUAACAACGAACGUGCCAUUGAUACUGUAGGACUUGAGUACAGUUGCCGUUGGCGGAAUGUGUCAUGUAGCGGUGAAAUGCAUAGAUAUGACACAGAACACCGAUUGCGAAGGCAGCUGACGAAACUGUAACUGACGCUGAGGCUCGAAAGCGUGGGGAU